GCUAUCUGCCCAGACUUCUCCUUAGAGGCGGAUGGAUCUUGUCUGCAAGGCAGUUUUGAAGCUUCCCCAGGUCAUGCACCUACAUAGCGUGUACUGCCUGAGCCUAUCAGCACAGAGCUUAGAAGUCCAGCCCUGCAGCCUCUCUCCUGGUGAGACCUCAGCCCACGCGACUGCUGCCUGGAAGAGGGCCACAGGUCUGUCUCCCAACCCCAGGCUGGAGGAGGGAUGAAGCGCCUCUCACACAGUCCCUCUGUCAGAGGAGUGAGCAGAUACCCUCUAGCGCAGUGUGGAAUCACCGCGGGGCACGCUGCGGCUGAGUAGUCUUGCUUUUCAUAAUAUUUAUUUUCUCACCCUACCUCUCUCUCUGUGUCCUGCCUUAUCUUGGACCCUACGUCAGGAGCACUGCAUCCCAGGGGAGGGAGCCCCAAGGCCAAGCCUUGCUGCCCAGUUACCAGGGACAGCGAGUGCGUCUUCUGGGUGCUAAGUGGAACCAAACCACAAGAUUUACCCCGGGGGAGGUACACGUGCUGGGUGAUCUACACGGAAAGGGUGGAAAUGAGCUAGUGUUUGGGCUCCAUCUUCUCCUGCACAAUUCCUGUUUGUUUUUCCACUGCCCUGUUCCAAGAAGGGGUACAGGAUGGGGUUGUGUGGACAGUGUGUCUGCAGCCCCACUACGGCCCUCCAUGUCAGCACCCAGGUGAACAAGGGAGGCGCAGCUGUCAAGGCCCAGCAGAAGACAUGGGCGCUUUCCAUGCCUCCAGAACAACCAGGUGCAGGAUGGAGACACAGGACUGAAUGGCGGAGCGGAGAGGGGCAUCGCAGGGCACAGAGGCUGGGCCGGGAGCGACCUGCCUCUGGGAAGCCGGGCAGGGUGGGGGAGGGGGCAGGUAAGUGUGUUGCCUGGCAACCCGGCAGACCCGCGGGUGGACAAGCUCAAGGGGCAGCCAGGUGCCACCCGCCCCCCACCCCCGCCCCACCCCCGAGCACACGCUGCGGAAUUCUGCCAGCACGAAGCACAGUCACGAGCGCAGCCGGAGCAGUUGAGCGGGCAGGACACCGCCAGCGCCGGGAGAACACGCGCGCCUCCGGUUCCCUGGGCUCCAAGACUCCGCCCCCGCGCGGGAGCUCUCACAGCGGAGGCGGCGCGCAGCAGCGCGGGGGCAGUGAAGACGCCGGGCGGGGCUGGGCGGCACGGGGAGGGAGCGGGCGGGGCGGGGCCGAGCUGCUACGUAAGCCGCCGCGAGAGGGGAUCCUGGGCGCAGGCCCCGCCCCCUCACGUGCCUAGGGCGCAGGGCCUCGUGCCGCCCGCGUGACUUGCGGGUCCGGCGGUGCCGCCGCCUGUGCCUCUGCCCGACUGCCACGCGUGGGAGGGAGGCCGUGGCGCUGGGGGCGACUGGCAUGUGGCGGCUGCAGGAAAGUCUUCCUCAGUGGCCGCGUCCCUGUCCUAGGCCUUGGUACCCUGGCCGUUCUCCGCUCGGGACUUGGGGGUGGUGAGCGGGGGUGCGGGGGUGCAGAGCUCUGUGCCCGCCUGGAUUUGAGAAAAGGAGGUCUCCCUUCCCUACCCCAUCUGCCCCUGCACUCCACGCAUGGGAGGAGGAGGCAGGGUAAGGGGGCUCUUCCCCAAGAGAUGAGUUUGUUCAAAUUUAAACCUAAGUUUGGGAAGGAGGUGCGGAAGAGUUUUUGAAAUUGAGGGGUGGAGUCCCCACAGCGGUCCGUUCAGCCUCCAUUACUAUGCCUGUGACCUUUGGAUCAGGAGCCCUGUUUUACUGCAACCUGGGCCCAGCCCAGCACCCAGCUGAGGGCAUGAGCAAGAAUCCAGCGUCCUUUAUGGUUCCUUGGGAUAACAUCACUAUUAGAAAAUCUGGGAUUGGUGCUGAAGAUAUUUCAGACCCUGCAGUUGAUGGAUCAGCUGGCGUCACCCAGAUUGAUAAACUGGCUGUCUGGUCCUGUGGCCCUUACCAAGGAACCUGCUUAGCACAAGAGGACAACUUCGAGGCCCUGUGAUUUUGUCUCUGACCAAACCAGUCAGCACUCCCCACUCCCUGGCCCUCUACCCAUCAAAUUAUCCUUCAAAAACCCUAGUCUGGAAUUUUCAGGGAGACUGAUUUGAGUAAUAAUAAAACUCUGGUCUCCCGAUCAGCCAGCUCUGUGUGACUUAAACUUUCUCUAUUGCAAUUCCCCCGUUGAUAAAUCUGUUCUAUCUGGGAAAUGGGUAAAAUGAACCUAUUGGGCAAUUACAAAAUGGGGGUGGGGGGCUGCCUGGGACAAGCACUCCAGAAUAGAAGCCCCUGAAGUAAACCCUCUCCAUGAAAAGCCAUAUAUGGUGUGGCAGACAGCCUGGAUUAGGGAGCUGGGGGAGCCACCCGCCAACCAAAUACGGAGCACUGGGGGAGGGUCAAGGUGUGAGGCAGACUGGGGAGGACAAGGAAUCCGAUGGAAUCUGACCCAGGCCAUUCCCUGUCUCCCUGAGGGGAAUCAGAGGGUUGGUGCUUUUACAGGGAUCCUAUUCCCAAGGCAAGGGUUUUUCCCCUUAGGAUAGUUCUAAGGAAGGCAACACCUAAGUGUGUUCAGUGCUGGGAUGGCCAGGAAGUGGAGUAAUAGGAAGAGAGCUGGAGGCAGGAAGUGGGUCCCUUUGGCUUUGUGUCUGGAUUUCAGUGUAUCUGGACAAGUGCCUUUCUACCCUUGGCUUUCCAAACUCACUUAUGAGGAAUGAGAAUAGUCAGUUUAAUGGCUAUUGAGUGCCUGACACUGUGGAGAGAACAAAGGGAGUGCCAGGUAAUGUGCCUGACUGACAGAAAUUUCUGUCUCGUGGGAGAAGGCCUAUGUUCUGGAAAUACUUAACAAAAUGUCAGUGGGUCUGUGAGGUUAAGAGCCAACAUGAGCAGUGUAGACAAGAGCUUUGAUAGAAAGGAGAGAGUGAUAGAGACCAAGGAGCUAAAGAAGGGGGAAGAUCUGGAUAAAUGGAGAGGAGCUUUGGGUGCUGAGAACUGCAUGAGCAAAGGCAGGAGGGAGUGUUUCUGGCCAGCCUGCUGGUCAGGAAGAACGCUGGUUUGGCUGGAACAAAGGGUGCAAGAUCAGAGAAGGCCAAAGAUCUGCUUGACGAAUGAGUCUACUGAGGCCCAAAGCACAGGCUUCGAGGUUCCCAUUCAGCCCCAAUUGCCCAGAACUUUGUAAAGCUCAGUGCUGAUCAUGUGAAACCAUCCUCAGAAACAUGCAGUGGCUCUCCGUUGCCCAAAUGCUAUCAUGGCACACGAGGCCCAUGAUGAUUUAUCCUAAACCUACCUGGUCAGCUUGAUUCCUGUUCUACGCUUUCAGGCCCACCAUAUCCACAGAAUUACCUCUGGGCCCUGAAUGUGCCCUCUACUUUCCCUCUUCUUUGCCUUCAAUUGCAUGCUUUUUCCUUUCUUUGGAAAGUUCUCUCCUCCCUCACCAUUUCUGCCCACUCAUCCUUGAAAACACAGCUCAAGUGCCAGCUCAUCCCCCAGCCAGAUGUAAUUUUCAUCUGAGUUUCCACAACAUCGUGUACUCUAUCUUGGCACCUCACGUUCCACGUUGUGUUAUGGAUAUGCAGAGACAUCAUCCUUCAAAGUAGAUACUGCUAAUUGGACCACUUCUCACCACCUCCAUCACUGUCAGCCUGUUCCAAGCCGCCAUCAUCUCUUGUCUGGACUGCUGGGAUGGCCUCCUGAUCAGCCCCAUUGUUUCCUUCUCACCCUCUUUAGUCACUUCUCUCCAGAGCAGCAGAGUGAUCCUUUUAAAACAUAGACCAUGUCACUCUUCUGCUCAAAACCCUACAAUGGUUUCUCAUCACAUUCAGAUGUUAUUCAAGACUUAGUAUGAAUGUCAAGACCUACGUUAUCUGGCCCUGUCUACCUCUCAAACACCUACCACCCCCUGCUUUGCUCACUAAGCUCUGGUCACUCUGUCCUUCUUCCUAUUUCCGCACUAUUCCAAGCUUAUUUCUUCCUCAGAGUCUAUGCACUUGCUGGAGUGCAUUUCUCUUAGAAUUUACACGGCUCACUCCCUCACUUCAUUCCUGUCUCGGGUCAAAUAUUUUCUCAGAGAAGCAUUCCCUGACUACCUUAUCUAGAAUAUGUCUUCUACCAGACACUCUCCACUCCCUUUUUCUUUAGAGCCAUUACCACUGUCUGAACCAUAUUAUGCUAAUUUGGUUGCCUGUCACUACCAUAAGAAGUUAAGCUUUGUGAUGUCAGGAACUCCUGUCUUGUUCACUGAUGUAGAACCUUCCUUGCACUUAGUAGGUACUCAGUUUUAUAAAGGAAUACAUUCUUUGAGGGCAAGCACCAUGUUUUUUACAUUUGAGUCCCCUUCUCCAAGUCCUAGUUUCUUACACAUAAGUCCACUCAAAUGCUUGUCUGAA